rnacentral:lncRNA from 1 species
GUUUAUGGAUCCAGUAGCUUCUGCUCCAGUGAUCAAUUGCUGAUACAGAAAACAACAGAAGACCCUAUUGGAGGACAUGCCACCCAGAGCUAGUCUACAUGUUGCGCCUCAGUGUCAUUUCAUGACCAGAGUAUCAGUUCCAAGGACAGCCAUGGAAACUGAGCCAGUUUCCAGUUCCAAGAUGGUCGAAUAGGAACAGCUCCAGUCUGCAGCUCCCAGCAUGAUUGACACAGAAGACGGUGAUUUCUGCAUUUCCAACUGAGAAUUGUGUGACAAUGACUUUUGGACAUUUGUUCUUUCGGCUUUGGAAUAUUUACACAAGAAUGGAGAAGGAACAUCCAACUGGAGCAUAAUUGUCAAGGCAAUAGAGAAUUUAGAGAAAUAAAAUAGCUGCAUAUCUCAAAAGAGUGCCUGAUGCUUUCUUUUUACUUUAAAGUAUUUAUACUAAGGUAAAGUGCUGAUGCAUCAAAAUUGCCUUCACUUUUCCUCGUGACAAUAAAAGACUUUAAUAAUGGUAAUGCUAGAAUUAACUGAUGUCAGUAACACAUGCAUCUUUAUUUCACUCAAAAUCUC